rnacentral:rRNA from 1 species
CAACGGCCACGGUAUCCUAACCGUGCGAAGGUAGCAUAAUCACUUGUUCUUUAAAUAGGGACUAGUAUCAACGGCAUCACGAGGGUUGCACUGUCUCCUUCCUCUAAUCAGUGAAACUGAUCUCCCCGUGAAGAAGCGGGGAUACAACUAUAAGACGAGAAGACCCCAUGGAGCUUUAAACCAAUGGUAACUCAAUUACAUAUUUCCUUAUAACCCAAGAGCCAUGCAUAUCGGUUUUAGGUUGGGGUGACCGCGGAGUACAAAUAAACCUCCACGACGAAAAGAACUAAAUCUUUAUCCAAGAGCUACAACUCUCAGAAUUAGCACACUAACGAAUAAUGAUCCGAUGAUCGAUCAACGAACCAAGUUACCCUGGGGAUAACAGCGCAAUCUACUUCAAGAGCCCAUAUCGACAAGUAGGCUUACGACCUCGAUGUUGGAUCAGGGUAUCCAAGUGGUGCAGCCGCUACUAACGGUUCGUUUGUUCAACGAUUAAAACCCUACGUGAU